GAGUUUGAUCGUGGCUCAGGAUGAACGCUGGCGGCGUGCCUAAUACAUGCAAGUCGAGCGAACGGACGAGAAGCUUGCUUCUCUGAUGUUAGCGGCGGACGGGUGAGUAACACGUGGAUAACCUACCUAUAAGACUGGGAUAACUUCGGGAAACCCGGAGCUAAUACCGGAUAAUAUUUUGAACCGCAUGGUUCAAAAGUAAAGACGGUCUUGCUGUCACUUAUAGAUGGAUCCGCGCUGCAUUAGCUAGUUGGUAAGGUAACGGCUUACCAAGGCAACGAUGCAUAGCCGACCUGAGAGGGUGAUCGGCCACACUGGAACUGAGACACGGUCCAGACUCCUACGGGAGGCAGCAGUAGGGAAUCUUCCGCAAUGGGCGAAAGCCCUGACGGAGCAACGCCGCGUGAGUGAUGAAGGUCUUCGGAUCGUAAAACUCUGUUAUUAGGGAAGAACAUAUGUGUAAGUAACUGUGCACAUCUUGACGGUACCUAAUCAGAAAGCCACGGCU
rnacentral:rRNA from 1 species